UGGGGAAUAUUGGACAAUGGGCGCAAGCCUGAUCCAGCCAUGCCGCGUGAGUGAUGAAGGUCUUAGGAUUGUAAAGCUCUUUCACCGGUGAAGAUAAUGACGGUAACCGGAGAAGAAGCCCCGGCUAACUUCGUGCCAGCAGCCGCGGUAAUACGAAGGGGGCUAGCGUUGUUCGGAUUUACUGGGCGUAAAGCGCACGUAGGCGGACUUUUAAGUCAGGGGUGAAAUCCCGGGGCUCAACCCCGGAACUGCCUUUGAUACUGGAAGUCUUGAGUUCGAGAGAGGUGAGUGGAAUUGCGAGUGUAGAGGUGAAAUUCGUAGAUAUUCGCAGGAACACCAGUGGCGAAGGCGGCUCACUGGCUCGAUACUGACGCUGAGGUGCGAAAGCGUGGGGAGCAAACAGG
rnacentral:rRNA from 1 species